rnacentral:rRNA from 1 species
UACGUAGGGUCCAAGCGUUAAUCGGAAUUACUGGGCGUAAAGCGCGUGUAGGCGGUUGUCCAAGUUGGAUGUGAAAGCCUUGAGCUUAACUCAAGAAAUGCAUUCAGGACUGGAUGGCUAGAGGACCGGAGAGGAUAGUGGAAUUCCCAGUGUAGUGGUGAAAUACGUAGAGAUUGGGAAGAACACCAGUGGCGAAGGCGGCUAUCUGGACGGUUUCUGACGCUAAGACGCGAAAGCGUGGGGAGCAAACAGG